rnacentral:lncRNA from 1 species
UUUAUACGGUGUUUAUUUAACCAAAUACGAAUCAAGAAAGGUAAAAUUAGAUAAAGUACCGUUUUUUGAAAAAUUUAUGACAACAUUCAAAGUUUAUCUUUAUUUAAAAUAUCAGAAUUUACCGUUAAUUGUAGAGAAAUUAGUAAAUUAAAGUCACGAAGGGAAAAAAAGGUGACGAAUUCAACAAUUUGUGAGGAGUCUUGUAUUAAGGACUAUCAAAUAUUUUCUUGAACGGAUCUUAUAGCAUUAACUUCAUCAGGACGGCCAGAUACAUUCUAGGUAGCUCUUUGUGUUGCGAAGACCAAGUUGGAUGAAUGCAUUUGACUAGCAUCAAAGAUUAGUACAGUUUAGGUAAAAAAAUAUAGAAACAAUGGCCAUCAAGGGGAAAUUUUCGACGAGUUUUAACACCAAAAUAUUAUCCAUCUAUAAUGAGCUCCAUGCUUCGCAUUUUUGGACAGGUAUUAUUCCUCCCUUGUACAAGGAGAAUGACGUUCAGAGUUCAUUUGCCCUUCUUAGUCCAUCUUUAAUAUCAUAAUUCUGAAAUAGAUAGUUGUAGUCAAAGAAAUAUACUCACUUUAAUACGCAAAAUAAUAAGUGUUAAUGUCAUAAUUAAUAUCUACAAUGAAUUUUAUACAAUGCAAAAUAAUCAUCCAAUCUACAUGGUACGCUGCCAAUAGAAAAUUAAAAUAGCCUCGUUUUUUUGCUGAUACAAAAAAAGUAAAAUUAAAAAAACUCUCAUUUAAGCAUCUGAACAAAUACUGAGUCUAAUCAAGCAUCUUCAUAUGAGAUCUUCAUUCACCCAUAGACCUAUUUUUGCUUAAAUGUAAGAGAACGAGAACGACACGACUUACCACUAAAAGUUUUUCUCAUUUUCUGGUGAAUUAAACUCUUGCACCAACGGUUUGCGCUCCACAUUUUUUUUCCACACAACUCACCUUGAAAUUCUGUUGCACAUACACUUCAAAUGCAAAUCAACGAUAUAGCUAUCGCGCAUAAUAACAUAGAAUGACACUCGGAAACGCUUUCCGUGACUCAGUUGGAAAGACAUAAAAAUUGGUACCGUUAAAUAACCAUUUGUUGACAGUUCCAUAGUUGAUGUUUACUUAAAGUUCUAAUGAAAUUGUGGAAAUUUAUCAGGUAUCCUUACUAAAAGUUUCGGACCCAAACAUUUUCGACGUCUGAAUUGUAUAUACAAAUUUGUUUUCGUCCGAUGGGUGAAAUAGAUUGAUAUUCUAAUGGAAACCAAACUUCUGAGGUUUAUCUAGAAGGAUGAUACUUUUUCAUACCUUUUGUUUACGCAAAUUUUCACUCCACUUGCUUAUUCAAAAGUAAUUCUGAAAUAACAAUAUUCUACUGAAAAAGAAUCCCUAAAAUUUUAAACGCAAAAUUGUUAAACAAGGCAUGAAUCAUAUCUGUUGUGAAGUGUGAAGAGCAUAAUAUUCCUACGAAGAGAAGAGAAAGUUCCACAUAAACUUUAGGUGUUGUUUCGGAACCCAAUACAGGGAUAAUCGUUUUAUAUAUAGAAUAAUGUUUGUAACAGUUGAGAUUUAAUCCAGUGGCAUAGACAUAAGCAACUAUGUUAUUCAAUUUAUUAUAAUUUAUUGGAAAUUGGUAUUCAAAAGUACAUACGAGAACUUUUCCAGAAUGAAGCAGACUAACCACGACGAUCAUCAGUCAGCCCCACAAUAUAACAUGCCAAAAGUAUCUUUCAUCCACGUGGCCACCCAACAGUAACACUUCCUAAUCAUUAUAUUUCUUUCUUUUCCCAGGAAAUAAAUAAUAAACAUAUAAUCGUAUGCCAGAGUUUUUAAAUGCAACCUUUGAAAUAAAGGUACCCAACAACCAUAAUUAAGUAUUGUAAACAUAUACCUGUUAAAUUAAAAAACAACACAAACAAAUAAUGUCAUAACCUAAUUUUAAAUUGUGAUUUUUAUAAUAAUCAUCUUAAGAAUUAUGUAAAAAAUAAUUCCUUAUUAGUUCGCAAAAUUGAAUCUAUAUAAAUAAACUUCUCCAAAAGUAUUUAUAAAGAUAAUAAAAAAUGGAAAACUCAUAAACUCAUAAACUAAAAUAAUAUAAAAUCUUUUAGAAAUCAAUUUAAUUUUUGAAAAAGUCUUGUAAACACA